rnacentral:ribozyme from 1 species
GGGAUAGCUGGGACAGGCUAUUGCAUCACGAUGGAUGGUUU